UUCCGGUUGAUCCCGCCGGAGGCCAUUGCUAUCGGAGUUCGAUUUAGCCAUGCUAGUCGCACGGGUUCAGACCCGUGGCGUAUAGCUCAGUAACACGUGGCCAAACUACCCUGUGGACGGGGAUACUCUCGGGAAACUGAGGCUAAUCCCUGAUAGGGCUUUGAGCCUGGAGUGGCCAAAGUCCCAAACGUUUCGGCGCCACAGGAUGUGGCUGCGGCCGAUUAGGUAGACGGUGGGGUAACGGCCCACCGUGCCAGUAAUCGGUACGGGUGAUGAGAGUCAGAGCCCGGAGACGGUAUCUGAGACAAGAUACCGGGCCCUACGGGGCGCAGCAGGCGCGAAACCUUUACACUGCACGCCAGUGCGAUAAGGGGACUCCAAGUGCGAGGGCAUAUCGUCCUCGCUAUCCUGUACUGUAGGGCAGUACAGUAUCAAGAGCUGGGCAAGACCGGUGCCAGCCGCCGCGGUAAUACCGGCAGCUCAAGUGAUGGCCGAUCUUAUUGGGCCUAAAGCGUCCGUAGCUGGCCGAGCAAGUUUGUCGGGAAACCCAUCAGCUCAACUGAUGGGCGUCCGGCGGAAACUACAAGGCUUGGGACCGGAAGGCUCGAGGGGUACGUCCGGGGUAGGAGUGAAAUCCCGUAAUCCCGAACGGACCACCGAUGGCGAAAGCACCUCGAGAAGACGGCUCCGACAGUGAGGGACGAAAGCUAGGGUCUCGAACCGGAUUAGAUACCCGGGUAGUCCUAGCCGUAAACGAUGUUCGCUAGGUGUGGCACUGGCUACGAGCCAGUGCUGUGCCGUAGGGAAGCCGAGAAGCGAACCGCCUGGGAAGUACGUCUGCAAGGAUGAAACUUAAAGGAAUUGGCGGGGGAGCACUACAACCGGAGGAGCCUGCGGUUUAAUUGGAUUCAACGCCGGA
rnacentral:rRNA from 1 species